AUAUAGUAUAGUAUUUGCCUUUCCCUUUCUGACUUUCACUUUUCUUCUUUAUUUUAUCGUCACCAUGUCCUUCCACACAGGGAACUUGCUGUGGGGCUGUGGGCUGCAAGAAGAACAUGACAGGGUGGGUGCAUGGCCACAGAUGGUGUGGCCAGGAGGGCUCUGGAGGGUGCUGAAGGUCCCCACUGCCGGUCACUCGUGCAAGGCCAAGCAUGGCACUUUAUUUCCUGUGAGCUGCUAAGACACAGACUCUCUCACGGAGAGGAGGGGCAGCAUUAUGGAAAUCUGGUGUGUCCAGGACACCGGCUGACCGAGGCAGCGUGCCUGCGUCCGUAGCAGGGUUAACAGUGAGGGUGAAUCAAGGUUGAGCCUGUGUACGGGAAGCUCCCUUGGAAAUCGUGUCUGAAAGUAUCAAAGUGGAUGAUGUGUUCCCAAGGGCAUCUGAUGCAGUAACGGCUGAAGAAUCUGAGGAAGAGACUGUUCUGCCAGCAGUCUGCUCCCUGGCUCUUCCCAGCACUGGCCACCUCCCCCAGACAGGGGUGGGUACUUGAUGACAGCCAGCAACGGACACCUCGGGGCCUGGGCUCCUUGGAGGACUUGCUGGAGGAGAUCUGCUAGGUCAACGUGAGCCUGAGGGCUGGAACCUGCUCGUCAUAGGGGCCUCAACAGCCGCCCUGUGUGUUGCCGAUGAGGCGGGGUGAGGACCAUGUGUUUUGGGAAAUGGAGGGUGAGGCUGAGGACUGCCUGCUUCUCAGAAGUGCAAUGGACUUAGCGUGCAAGUGGCAGAACCAGCUUCCAUUUCUAGACAAGAUUUUAUGACUGGGUGGCGAGACACUGGGCCCCGUCUGGAUGGGUGCUGUGACCCUGUCUGGAGACGGUAUCCGUUUGCCUGCUCCGGGAAUUGAGGCACGAACCUCCAUGGGGACCCAGAAUGUGACUUGUCAUGUGCUUUUUAAUACCCAGGAGUUCUGUGAUUAGUAGGCAUCGACAGGAAUGCCAACUUCAGAUAAGAAGAGCUGCCGCAAACCCAACCAGAAUUGGAGAUGGAGGUUUCAGGGGAGCCUUUUUCCCUGUAAGAGCAUCAUGAUAUGAAUUCUUCUGCGUUGCUGCGGUGAAUCGGUGCCAACACAUGCCCAGCAUUGCCUGCGAGCUGGAAGCCGCAGGGGGUGGCUAUUCUGCAGUCAGCUGCCUUCAGGGGCGGGCCUCGUGGUCCAGGAGUUCAUGGCUUCCCGGGAAAUCAGGCAGUCCUGCGUUGCUGUGCAUAGGCCAUUCGUGACUCUUGAAACGUUUAAAUAUGUCAUCCUAGAAAAGAAACAUACCCUGUGUUCCCCAGUGAGUGAGCAUUUCUGAGAUGGCAUCAUGGUUCUUUUAAAAGCUGAAAAUGAUCAAGUGCCCUGAGAAGACAUGAGUGGAUAGAAGGUUAUCUGUUCCCUUUCCUGUAUGUACCAACUACAAACCUGAGGACAGACUUCAAGGGAAAACUUGGAACAAUACCCACUUUCUAAAAAUACAGAGAGGAAGAGAGAAGAGCCCUAGCCCAGUAUCCUCUUUCUUGGUGGAUCUGAGCAUCUUAAUUAAACAAGUCUAAAAUUUAUCUCCGCUCUGCCAAGCCCACGAGACUUGUUCCUUCUGGAAUCCAUAUGGGUGGAGUUCCAGCUGUCAAGAUGAUGUCACCCAACACAGAGGUGAAAAGAGGUAGGCAAUCGUCACCAUCAUAAAGUGUUCUGCCAUAGACACAAAUAACCUGAGGAUCACAGAUGACCCAGCGUGGUGAAAUAGAGGGGGUGAACAGAGUUUCCUGGAAUGGAAUGGUCCCCCCAGGCUGGGCCAGGACUGUUAGGGCAGCGUCCAGAUUUCAGCCGAGUGCACAGGAAGCAGCGUGGAAGCCUGAUGCAGGAUCUGCCAGGGCCACAGCAGGUUUACACCCCCCAGGGAUGGGAGACACAAAAAGACCCCUGCUGACUGGUGAGCUUCCAUUUGUGUUCUGACAACAAGGAGGAAGUGACAGAAAUGACAGCCAAUCAUGGGAUAAAAACCUCAUGAAAAGGAUAAAUUGGAGCAUCUAAGCCUGGGGAAGACAAUGAAAGAAAAACCAUGACUUGUCCCCAGAGACAAUGGCCUCCCUUCUCCAGGCACCUGGAGGCAGAGGACACUUUCAAUCAUCGCCCAAGGCUUCGGAGAAAGGCAAUGGGGUGAUUCACCCAGAAACCGUGGGUACAAGCACGUAAACACAUCAGCACCGGAACCACACACCUAGUUCUCAUUCAUUGAUGGCUGGCAGUAUUGUAAGAGGCGCCACUCGAUAUUUCUUUUUCAAAAGCCUAGCCCUAUUAAAAAAUAAAAUAAAAAGUAGAAAAGUAGAUUAAGGAAGCAGUAGGAUGCCUCAUGGGCUGUGAAUGAAAUGGGGGCAGUAAUCCUUUCGUAACUGGGUGCAAUGUCAGACACACACUCAUGAUUGGUGUGUAGGUGUUUGAGAUACAUGUCAAUUUCUCCUGAGCUAUUUAUUGAUGUUAAUGAGAGCAUUUCAAUAGGGAUGAAUGAUGAACUCGAGGAGGUUUUGAGGAUGGUUUAAAACCUAACAGAGAGGUUUUGGUUGUCCAUGGCUGCCUAACAAACCUCAGUGGCUUUAAAAUGGCAACCCUUUAUUCUGUCAUAAUCUCUGGGGGUCAGGGAUCCAGGUGUGUCUUCAAUGAGUGGAUCCUGCUUAGGGUCUCAGAAGCUGCAAUCUGGGUGUUGGAGGGUCAGCAGUUUUCUCACAACUAGAGAGAAAGGGGAGGCUCUCCUUCCAAGGGCACUGCCAUGGCUGUGGGCGGGAUUCAGGUCUUUGCACAUGCUGGGUUGAAGGCUUCCGCUCUUUGCUGGCUGGAGCUGUCAGUUCUCAGCUAAAGAGCCUCUCAUGGGGCAGCUCACAUCAGGGCAGCAGGCUUCCUGCAGAGCAAGUGAGUAAAAUGCAAGAGAGGGUGAGUGAGACAGAACGCAGUGUCCUUGGUACCCUAACCAUGAGCAGUGACAUCCAUCCCAUCCCUUCUUGGAGGUAAGUCACUAGGUCCAGUCCUCACUCAAGGAGAGGGGAUCACUCAGGGUCGUGGAUUCCAGCUGGCCUUGGGGUCCCUUUUAGAGGCUGCCUACCACCAUCAAGAUGAAGAAGGAUAUUGUUUCCAACAUCCUUGGAAACAAAGGCUCACAGUGAGGUUUAGUAGGUGGAAUGCACCUUGGGACUUAGCUUCCCCCUUUUCCGACAAGGCAUGUCCCCAUGAAUGUGGGGGUCGCAGGGGCAGCAGGAUGUUGGGGCAGGUCUAGGUUCCUAUCAGCAGGGUCCUCCUGAAGGAGCCCUGACCUGACCAAAGUGAAGUCCUCUCUAUGGUGAUCAGGGGAAAAUGCAUGUGUUUGUCUCCAUCAGAAGCUGACAUCUCUGGUCUCCAAGGGUGGCUGGGGCUUGCUUCAGGGGAAGAGGUUCAAGACAUGGGAGGGAAGGGGGAGAUGUUCAGAGCCCACCUUCUCCAGGGUCAGCUCCGGGAGAGAGGCACCCAUUUCCUUGUGCUCUGUGACUGGGCAGCAUGGCCAGGAAGAGACGGACUUGCCUGCCCCAGGUUUUUAAGUAAGAAGCCACAGCUGCUGAAGGCUACUGUAAGCCAGGCACAGGCCAAGUACUUUUGCUGCGUCACCUCUCUCACCUCUCACAAGAGCUCUAUGGAGGAGGUGCUCUUUUUACCUCAAGUUUUAAAUCUGGGAAAAUUGAGGCUCCAGGAUUGAGUCAUUGGCCAGAGGGCCUGGACCUGUGGAUGGAAGAACCUGGAUUUCAUGGCUUGUCUGGAUCCACGUCUCUGCUUAAAAACUUCCAAGGCACAUUCCAGAGAGGUCACUAGAUGGGCCAUUUCAGAAACUGGUUGUUGCUUAAUAUUAGACGGUCAGUGGUGAAGGCCAGGUUGAUGUACAGCCUCCCAGCUUCUCCAAGGGCUGUGCUCUGCUGCAGCAAGUGGCCGAGUUAGCUAACGCUGUGACUCUGGCUGAAGGACCCCGAUUCUAGAGCAUUAGGGGAUGUCCAGGGAGAGGGGUAAGAGGUGCAAGGCUGGAGUGGCCCUCUUGGGAUCCCAGAGAUUUCUACAGAGAGGCGCCCUUCCCGGUAAGCUGUUGUACCUGAUUCUCACCUCUGGUUAGUCCCAGUGGUGCUCCGAGGGCUGUGGAAGCCCCGAUUCACAUGCUCCAGCAGGUACGUCCUUCAACACAUCACCACACUGGACAAAUGUGAAACACACUCAGAGCAGAUGUACCUAUGACCUGGUUACAGUGUUAUAGGAAAGGGUUGCUGGAGGUUUAAGGGACUGCUGUGGCUUACCUUUAUGCAACAGAAAGUCUUCUUUUGUAGCUCGCAAUUCCCAGUCCAGAAGCACGGCCAAACUGGGACACUGUAUGAACACUGCCUAAAGGGUGCAAAUACCAUUGACCUGAUUUUCAUCUUCUGUGGUCCUUAUGAUAUUUACACCACAGGGAUAGUCUCUCCACACCCCUGGGGGAAAAUCUGGCCAACCCCAUUCCCUCUCACCUCAUGGACAGCCUUAGAGUAGGUGGAGGUUUAGUAGGUGGAAUGCAUCUUGGGACUUAGCUUCCCCCAAACCUAAGGUUUCAGUGUCUUAACUCACAUCCUAGGGUGUCCCCCCUCAGACUGGAAUCAAUCCUCCCCUCCCCCUCCAUCCACACACCUGGUGCUGUGGGCCUGCUGCUGGCACAAGGAGCCAUAUACCUCCCCUUUUCCCUCCUUUUUCUCUUUCCUCUAUCCCACUUUGCAGUUUUGGACACUUCAGGCUGAGCCUGCAGAAGGGGAGAAAGGGAAGAAAACACGGUCUGAUGUGAGGGUUCAUCCUCCGCCUGCCGAGUGGGCCUCUCAGGAGGGGAUGGUUGGGAUUUUCUCUGAGGCACUUUCUGUGGUUCUGCCAGUGAUGUUCAACUCCUGGGCUCUGCAGCUGUGGUUUUCAGGGUAGGGCGGGGCUGCUCCUCGGCUGGCAGCUGCUCUCCCCCAAGGCCCCGCUCUGCCAGGUGUCCACUGAGCUUGCUCUCUCUUGCCUUCAGUGGACUGGACCCUUUGAAGGUGAUCCUUCUAAGGCAACCUAAGGCAUCUCCAGACAGGCCUUCUCUCCCCCAAGUGUCCCACCAGUGCCUUUCCACCAGGAGCACUCAGAUCCUGUGACCUGCCCUAGCAGGAGAGAAUGGUUACCUGCUGUGGCGGCAGCAUCUGGGGUGACCCCAGAGAAUCUUGCCUCCUGGAACUCACACCCUUGGGAAAACCCCUCCCUCUGAGCAUAGACUGGACCUAGUGACUAACUUCUAACCAACAGAAUGUAGCCAAAAUGAUAGGAUGCUAUUUCUUAGAUCUAAGAGUUACAGAAAAUCUGUGACUUCAAAUUUUUUUCAUUUUUCUCUGGAGAUUCAUCCACAUUUUUUUCUAUAUCUAUAAUCCCUCCCUUUUUGUCCUUGAGUGCUGUUCCAUGGUAUGGAAGGACCAUAGUUUAUUUAAUUAUUCCCCCAAUGAAGGACAUCAGAGUUUUUCCCAGGUUGGAGCUAUUAAAAGUGAAAUGGCAUGAUCAUUCACGUACAAAUUUCUGGUGAAUUGAAAUCUUCAUUUCUUUGAAAUAAAUGCCCAGAAGUGUAAAUUCUGGGCCAUAUGAUAGUGACACGAUUUUUUUAAAGACAAAAAUUUUAGAAUGGUCUUCUAUUUUAUAUCCCCACCAGCGAUGCAUGAGUGACCCAGUUUUUCUGCAUCUUCACCUAAAUGUGGUGGUGUCACCAUUAACAAACAAACAAACAAACAAAAAACCCUCUGGUGGUUGUGUAGUGAUAUCUUAUUGUGACUUUAAGGUGCAUUUCCCUAAAAGUUAGUGUUCAAUAUCUUUUCAUACGCUUAUUUGAUACCCAUUUCCUCUCUUUUGUUAAAAGUCUCUUCAUUUCUUCUGCCCAUUUUCUAAGGAUGUUUUAGUUGCUCAAUGGUUGUGAUAGUUCUUUAUAUAGUCUAGAUAUUAGCUCUUAAUUUGCAAAUAUUUUUUCCCAGUCUGUAGUUGGUCUUCUCAUUCACUUAUGAAGGUCAUUUGCAGAGCAAAAGUUUUUAAUUUUGAUGGAAUCCAAUUGAACAAUUUUUCCUUUUUUGCAGCAUGCUUCAGUGUAAAGUCUUAAGAAAUUUUUGCCUAGCCUU